UACAGAGGUGCCGAGCGUUAGGCGGAAUCACUGGGCUUAAAGCGCGCGUAGGCGGACGUUUAAGUGUCUUGUGAAAUCCCACGGCUCAACCGUGGAACUGCUGGGCAUACUGGACGUCUCGAGGCACUCAGGGGCGAGCGGAACAAGUGGUGGAGCGGUGAAAUGCGUAGAUAUCACUUGGAACGCCAAUGGUGAAGACAGCUCGCUGGGGGUGUCCUGACGCUGAGGCGCGAAAGCCAGGGGAGCGAACGGG
rnacentral:rRNA from 2 species